GAUGAACGCUGGCGGCGUGCCUAAUACAUGCAAGUCGAACGGAAAGGCCUCUUCGGAGGUACUCGAGUGGCGGACGGCUGAGUAACGCGUAGGAACGUACCCCAAACUGAGGGAUAACUGCUCGAAAGAGUAGCUAAUACCGCAUGUGCUCUACGGAGUAAAGCUUCGGCGGUUUGGGAACGGCCUGCGUAUGAUUAGCUAGUUGGUGAGGUAAUGGCUCACCAAGGCGACGAUCAUUAGCUGGUCUGAGAGGAUGAUCAGCCAGACUGGGACUGAGACAUGGCCCAGACUCCUACGGGAGGCAGCAGUAGGGAAUUUUCCACAAUGGGGGCAACCCUGAUGGAGCAACGCCGCGUGCAGGAUGAAGGCUUUCGGGUCGUAAACUGCUUUUAUAUGUGACGAUUUUGACGGUAGCAUAUGAAUAAGGAUCGGCUAACUCCGUGCCAGCCGCCGCCGUAAUAC
rnacentral:rRNA from 1 species